ACCCGCUGAAUUUAAGCAUAUAAGUAGGCGGUGGAUGAGAAACCUACAGGGAUUCCUUCAGUAAUGGCGAAUGCAUCAGGACAGGCUCAGUGUGGAAAUCAAAGCUUUCGGCUUUGAGUUGUAAGUUCGAGAUGUGCUACCAAUUGGGGCGUGGCAAUAAGCUUUUGGAACAAAGCAUUGACAAAGGUGAGAAUCCUGUGUGUUAUCUGCAGCCCCCAGUGCACGGUGUGCUUUCUAAGAGUCAUGUUCCUUGGGACUGGUGCAUGAAGCAGGUGGUAAUUUUCAUCUAAAGCUGAAUAUAUGUUUGAGACCAAUAGCAAACAAGUACCAUGAGGGAAAGGUGAAACAGGACUCUGUAAAGAGAGGUAAUAGUGUCUGAACAUGCUGAAAGGGAAGUGAAGGGGACCAGUGUAAUUUGGUGAGAUUGCUGCAUGCGAAUGUGCUUGCCUGCUGCACUUGGCAAUGGUGCUGCUGGUCAUGAGCGUGCUGCAUGCAAUGCUUCUUGCUUGAUAAACCAUUGGCAUUGCGUUGCGCGAGGAGAGAUGUAAAGGUAUGGUAGCCCAUCUUCGGGUGUGUGAAUGUCUUUACCCCAUUCGCGCAUGCAUUGUGUAGUGGCCACACGGUUCCAUUCGCCCCGUCUUGAAACACGGACCAAGGAGUCUAACAUGUGUGCGAGUUCAUGGGUAUCUACGCCUGUGUGCGCAGUGAAAGUGCUGGCUGGGAACAUUGCAUCAGCAACAGACCAUUCGAUUUGGAGAAGUCUGAGUAUGAGCAUGCUUGUUAGGACCCGAAAGAUGGUGAACUAUGUCUGUGAAAGGCAAACUCAGGGGAAACUCUGAUGGAAGCCUGUAGUGAUACUGACGUGCAAAUCGUUCGUUAUACAUGGGUAUAGGGGUGAAAGACUAAUCGAAUCAUCUAGUAGCUGGUUCCUUCCGAAGUUUUCCUCAGGAUAGCUGGAGCUGAACAAUUUCAUCAGGUAAAGCAAAUGAUUAGAUGCAUUGGGGGCUUGUUGCCCUUGACCUAUUCUCAAACUCUAAAUGUGUGAGACCCAGUGGUUGCUUCUGUGAACCUUUGGGACAAGUGUCACCUCUAAGUGGGCCAUUUUUGGUAAGCAGAACUGGUGAUGAGGGAUGAACCUAAUGUUGGGCUAACGUGCUUAGUUGCUCGCUCAUCAGAUGUGUUGGUUCAUUUUAACAGCAGGACGGUGGUCAUGGAAGUUGAAAUCCGCUGAGGAGUGUGUAAUAACUCACCUGCCGAAUGGACUGGCCCCGAAAAUGGAUGGCGCUCAAGUGGGUAACUGAUAUCCAACCAGUGCUGCACAUGCUGCAGCAAUGAGUAGGAGGGCAUGGGGGUUCGUCGUGAAGCUCGUGGUGCAAACCUAAGUGAAACAGCCCCUGGUGCAGAUCUUGGUGGUAGUAGC
rnacentral:rRNA from 1 species